GAUGAACGCUGGCGGCGUGCCUAAUACAUGCAAGUCGAGCGAACAGACGGAGCUUGCUCCUCUGACGUUAGCGGCGGACGGGUGAGUAACACGUGGAUAACCUACCUAUAAGACUGGGAUAACUUCGGGAAACCGGAGCUAAUACCGGAUAAUAUAUUGAACCGCAUGGUUCAAUAGUGAAAGACGGUUUUGCUGUCACUUAUAGAUGGAUCCGCGCCGCAUUAGCUAGUUGGUAAGGUAACGGCUUACCAAGGCAACGAUGCGUAGCCGACCUGAGAGGGUGAUCGGCCACACUGGAACUGAGACACGGUCCAGACUCCUACGGGAGGCAGCAGUAGGGAAUCUUCCGCAAUGGGCGAAAGCCUGACGGAGCAACGCCGCGUGAGUGAUGAAGGUCUUCGGAUCGUAAAACUCUGUUAUUAGGGAAGAACAAAUGUGUAAGUAACUAUGCACGUCUUGACGGUACCUAAUCAGAAAGCCACGGCUAACUACGUG
rnacentral:rRNA from 1 species